UAGAAAUAAAGCGGAGGUUAUCGGGGUGACAGGUGGUGCAUGGUCGUCGUCAGCUCGUGUCUUGAGAUGUUUGGUUAAGUCCCGCAACGAGCGCAACCCUACUCUCUAGUUAACUCAUUUAGAGAGACUGAACAGUAAUGUAUAGGAAGGAUAGGAUCACGUCAAAUCAUCAUGCCCCUUAUGUCUUGGGCCGCAAACGUGUUACAAUGGCGAAUACAACGUGGAGCGAACUAGCGAUAGCAAGCUAAUCACUAAAAAUUCUUCUCAGUCCGGAUAAAAGGCUGCAAUUCGCCUUUUUGA
rnacentral:rRNA from 1 species